AUCUGGAGCUCUUUUAACAAGAUCCAUGAAUUUUCGAGUCAAAUAAACCAAGGAUGCAUCAAAUCGAGGCCUUUUGACCUUCAGAGUUUCUGUAAUGUUUUUGACACAAUAUUUAGGCAUGUGUCACCACUGUAAGAAGAAAAACAAUAAAUACUUCAAGGAUAACACAUGGAAUGCAGCCACUUACUUUUUACAACUGGUACGUCAUCA
rnacentral:lncRNA from 1 species